AUUGAACGCUGGCGGCAUGCCUUACACAUGCAAGUCGAACGGUAACGGGUCCUUCGGGAUGCCGACGAGUGGCGAACGGGUGAGUAAUAUAUCGGAACGUGCCCAGUAGUGGGGGAUAACUGCUCGAAAGAGCAGCUAAUACCGCAUACGACCUGAGGGUGAAAGGGGGGGAUCGCAAGACCUUCCGCUAUUGGAGCGGCCGAUAUCAGAUUAGCUAGUUGGUGGGGUAAAGGCCUACCAAGGCAACGAUCUGUAGUUGGUCUGAGAGGACGACCAGCCACACUGGGACUGAGACACGGCCCAGACUCCUACGGGAGGCAGCAGUGGGGAAUUUUGGACAAUGGGCGCAAGCCUGAUCCAGCAAUGCCGCGUGCAGGAAGAAGGCCUUCGGGUUGUAAACUGCUUUUGUCAGGGAAGAAAUCUUCUGGGCUAAUACCCCGGGAGGAUGACGGUACCUGAAGAAUAAGCACCGGCUAACUACGUGCCAGCAGCCGCAGUAAUAC
rnacentral:rRNA from 1 species